rnacentral:rRNA from 1 species
GUAGGUGGCAAGCGUUGUCCGGAAUUAUUGGGCGUAAAGCGCGCGCAGGUGGUUCUUUAAGUCUGAUGUGAAAGCCCCCGGGCUCAACCCGGGGAGGGUCAUUGGAAACUGGGGAACUUGAGUGCAGGAGAGGAAAGUGGAAUUCCACGUGUAGCGGUGAAAUGCGUAGAUAUGUGGAGGAACACCAGUGGCGAAGGCGACUUUCUGGCCUGUAACUGACACUGAGGCGCGAAAGCGUGGGGAGCAAACAGGAUUAGAUACCCUGGUAGUCCACGCCGUAAACGAUGAGUGCUAAGUGUGGGGGGUUUCCGCCCCUCAGUGCUGCAGCUAACGCAUUAAGCACUCCGCCUGGGGAGUACGGUCGCAAAGACUG